AAGCUUACCAAAGAUAUAAGCACAACAAACAUUAGUUUUUUUAGACCUGGAGAUUUAUAUUCACAAUGAUAGAAUCACGACCCGUACACACUUUAAACAAGUAGAUGUGAAUAGCUACCGAAAUAGAUAGUUGCCAUAAUUUUCCUUGGUUAAAAAAUAUACCCAAAGGGCAAUUUUUAAGACUUCGUAGGAACUGUUCUGAACAGUCAGUUUUUAGAAAUCAAGCUAACGCUUUGAAAGAGCAGUUUAAACAAAAGGGAUAUUCCGAGGAAAAAUUACAACAGGAGAUUAAUCAAGUCUUAGAAUCUGAUAGGGGUCAACUUUUAAAG